rnacentral:ncRNA from 1 species
UUUGGGGGUGCCGCGCCGUUGUGUGUGGCUGAGAACAUACCCAUAGAAUCUGAUCCGGGUUAUACCGGCGUAGAGAACUAAACUUAUU